GUCUUUGUUUCUCUUGUUUGGGCUUUAGACUCCAGGGAUAUCUUCGUUUUCCGCUGGCUUAAGUUGUAUUCCACAAUGUAUCCUUCGAGUUUUAUUAAUACUACCAGGUGACAAAAAAAAUAAAAAAUAAGAAAGCAAUACUGAGAACAUAUAAAUAUCAAAAGGGACAGAGGAAAGGGACAGAGGAAGUUGUUCCCACUUCCCAUCUUCUCAACCUGAACUUUGGGGAGUUUGGGACCCAAACACCUUCUCCAUUG
rnacentral:lncRNA from 1 species